GUUGAUGUAGCUUCAGCCCGGCUCUGCUGCUGCUGCUCAGUGUUCCCCGGCUGCUCUUGUCGCUGUUGUCCCGACUGGGAGAAACUUGCUGGCUGGCUUUGUGGUUGCUGUUGCCAUGGCUGGAGGAGCUGUUCUGCUGAAACUAGUUGUUGCUGUUCUAUGAUCUCUUGCUGCCUUUGUCGUUGAUGCCAUGGCGGAAGAGAUCGAAAUGGUUGUGCAGAAAUAACUCGCUGUGACGCUGAUGAUGGGCCAUCCGCCCGGGUCUGCUGCUGCUGCUCAGCUGUUCGCUCGAUAAUUACGUGCUGCCAUUGUUGUUGAUGUCGUGGCAGGGCCGAUCGAAUUGGAUUUGCAGAAUUAGCUGGCCGCGUUGUUGUUGAUGUAGCUUCA